AGUGCGGUAUAUCAGAAAAUUGCAAUAUAACUUCUACCAUAAAGGAGUUGUGGAUUGCGGCGAUAGGGGGACCUGGCGGAAGCUAGAAGCGGAGGAAGAAAUCCUCGAAGAGGUGGAAGCAGACUGCAUCCUGAGCCUGCGAGAGAUGAGUCGCCAAGUGAGUAUCAGUCGUUCUUCGGUGCAUCGCAUUUUGAAGAACGAAUCAUAUGUGGCCGUACAAGUUCAGGCGGGUACUAGCCUUAUUCGACAUCGACGCCCUAAAACAGGUACAAUAUUCGAGGCGGCUGCUAGGAGAAAUAGGACAAAUAUGUAUUAUGGGCCGACGAAGCACUAUUUACAAGAGAAGGAAAUUCCAAUGGUCACUAUGCAUGGCGAUUUCAUCGUUGGGCCGUACAUCCUGUCCAGCAAGAUGUAAACCUAUAAACCCAGCUUAUAAAACGUUUUUAGAACAUGUUCUGCCGGACAUUUUGGCUGACAUUCCAUUAGAAAUCCGACAGAACAUGUUCUACCAAAUGGAUGGUGUUUCAGUGCAUUAUGAAGUCUUUCAAGGUUACAGGUGAAUCAGCCGUGUUGGACCUGUCACGGGUCACCAAAGUGGUCACCAAAUUUGAAUCCUCUCAAUUUUUAUUUUUGGGGCUCAAGGAUGCGGGGUACCGAAUACAUGGCGCCGUCGCGACGCCGACACAUUACAAACGUCCGUGCGGAGACACCGCACAAGGUUCGAAAACAAAUAGGUGCGCAUGCAAGAUUUUGCCACUAAGCGAAUGAACAACAUUUUGUACCACAUUCUUGAUAUUAAACGACCCUUUUCAGGGUGAUUCAGUCUUAACGCAGGUUAAGACAAUUCAACUAUA